rnacentral:rRNA from 1 species
CUACGGGAUGCUCCAGUGGGGAAUAUUGCACAAUGGGGGAAACCCUGAUGCAGCAACGCCGCGUGAAGGAUGAAGGUUUUCGGAUCGUAAACUUCUUUGAUGAGGGAAGAAAAAUGACGGUACCUCAAAAACAAGCCACGGCUAACUACGUGCCAGCAGCCGCGGUAAUACGUAGGUGGCGAGCGUUGUCCGGAAUUACUGGGUGUAAAGGGCGUGUAGGCGGGAAUGUAAGUCAGAUGUGAAAUUCCGAGGCUCAACCUCGGAGCUGCAUCUGAAACUAUAUUUCUUGAGUGCUGGAGAGGAAAGCGGAAUUCCUAGUGUAGCGGUGAAAUGCGUAGAUAUUAGGAGGAACACCAGUGGCGAAGGCGGCUUUCUGGACAGUAACUGACGCUGAGGCGCGAAAGCGUGGGGAGCAAACAGGAUUAGAUACCCUCGUAGUC